rnacentral:lncRNA from 1 species
AGUUUGAAGCGAGCGCUGAACCGUAAUCGUUUUGCCCGUGUGCACCGACAGAGUCGGUUAAUUUGUUUAUCCUCUUCUUUCGCAUUGCAGGCGCUUGUUUCCAUGCACUGAACGCAAGUGGAGCGUACACGAGCUGCGAGAGUCGUUGCGGUCUGCCAUGCGAAGAAAUCGUGUACGACGUGAAGCUUGCAGGCAUCACCAAAGAAGAUGGUUUCAAGCACGACCGAAAGAACAGGGUCGGCCUCGAAGUCAAGUUCAGCUCUGACGUGAUGCAAGUGGUCCAGUACGUUCCAGUGAUCACCCGGGUGGAGGUCCUCGGCUACCUAAGCGGUUAUCUCGGCAUCUGGCUGGGACUGUCACUUUCCACCUUGGCUAUCCAGGCCCAGAACCGCUUUUGUCCCUCUCACCGGCGCUCACUGACGGAACGACAGACGUCAUUUCCUGGACAUGAUAACCCUGGUUUAAGAUUCUGCUUAACCUAUCUCGGUAGGAGACUACCGCUGCAAUUCAGGCGCAGGAGAGCUGUGGUGGCAGCAUUCAAGCAAGCUCCGCAUCUAUUUUAGGCAAGUUUGUACCACUAGUUUUCUGCUGCUCUUGAUUGUGACUGUUCUCCUAAAGACAAUAUCUCACCAGUAGGACCUAACCCAUGAUUUUUACAUUACAAAUGCAGAGCUCCAUUAAAAUGGGAUAUUCAA